CAUAAGGCCUUUACAAGGCCACUCACGGAAACAAAGAAAGAAAAU
rfam:Stegodyphus mimosarum contig122924, whole genome shotgun sequence.